UCCCUCAUAGCUCAGUUGGUAAAGAGUCUGCCUGCCAUGCGGGAGACCUGGGUUCGAUUCCUGGGGUGGGAA
rnacentral:tRNA from 1 species